AUUGAACGCUGGCGGCAGGCCUAACACAUGCAAGUCGAACGGUAACAGGAAGCGGCUUGCUGCUUUGCUGACGAGUGGCGGACGGGUGAGUAAUGUCUGGGAAACUGCCUGAUGGAGGGGGAUAACUACUGGAAACGGUAGCUAAUACCGCAUAACGUCGCAAGACCAAAGAGGGGGACCUUCGGGCCUCUUGCCAUCGGAUGUGCCCAGAUGGGAUUAGCUAGUAGGUGGGGUAACGGCUCACCUAGGCGACGAUCCCUAGCUGGUCUGAGAGGAUGACCAGCCACACUGGAACUGAGACACGGUCCAGACUCCUACGGGAGGCAGCAGUGGGGAAUAUUGCACAAUGGGCGCAAGCCUGAUGCAGCCAUGCCGCGUGUAUGAAGAAGGCCUUCGGGUUGUAAAGUACUUUCAGCGGGGAGGAAGGGAGUAAAGUUAAUACCUUUGCUCAUUGACGUUACCCGCAGAAGAAGCACCGGCUAACUCCGUG
rnacentral:rRNA from 1 species